ACGAACGCUGGCGGCGUGCUUAACACAUGCAAGUCGAACGGAAAGGCCCUGCUUUUGUGGGGUGCUCGAGUGGCGAACGGGUGAGUAACACGUGAGUAACCUGCCCUUGACUUUGGGAUAACUUCAGGAAACUGGGGCUAAUACCGGAUAGGAGCUCCUGCUGCAUGGUGGGGGUUGGAAAGUUUCGGCGGUUGGGGAUGGACUCGCGGCUUAUCAGCUUGUUGGUGGGGUAGUGGCUUACCAAGGCUUUGACGGGUAGCCGGCCUGAGAGGGUGACCGGCCACAUUGGGACUGAGAGACGGCCCAGACUCCUACGGGAGGCAGCAGUGGGGAAUAUUGCACAAUGGGCGGAAGCCUGAUGCAGCAACGCCGCGUGCGGGAUGACGGCCUUCGGGUUGUAAACCGCUUUCGCCUGUGACGAAGCGUGAGUGACGGUAAUGGGUAAAGAAGCACCGGCUAACUACGUG
rnacentral:rRNA from 1 species